GACGAACGCUGGCGGCGUGCUUAACACAUGCAAGUCGAACGGAAAGGCCCUGCUUUUGUGGGGUGCUCGAGUGGCGAACGGGUGAGUAACACGUGAGUAACCUGCCCUUGACUUUGGGAUAACUUCAGGAAACUGGGGCUAAUACCGGAUAGGAGCCCCUGCUGCAUGGUGGGGGUUGGAAAGUUUCGGCGGUUGGGGAUGGACUCGCGGCUUAUCAGCUUGUUGGUGGGGUAGUGGCUUACCAAGGCUUUGACGGGUAGCCGGCCUGAGAGGGUGACCGGCCACAUUGGGACUGAGAUACGGCCCAGACUCCUACGGGAGGCAGCAGUGGGGAAUAUUGCGCAAUGGGCGGAAGCCUGAUGCAGCAACGCCGCGUGCGGGAUGACGGCCUUCGGGUUGUAAACCGCUUUCGCCUGUGACGAAGCGUGAGUGACGGUAAUGGGUAAAGAAGCACCGGCUAACUACGUG
rnacentral:rRNA from 1 species